rfam:Lactobacillus rhamnosus MTCC 5462 contig457, whole genome shotgun sequence.
CGCGGGAUGGAGCAGUUCGGUAGCUCGUCGGGCUCAUAACCCGAAGGUCGCAGGUUCAAAUCCUGCUCCCGCAA